rnacentral:ncRNA from 1 species
CAUCGGUGCCUCUCCCUUUGCCGGGAGGGGCCGAAAGAGGGAAGCGGGUGAAAAUCCCGCGCGGUCCCGCCGCCGUAUGGAAGCAAACAGGCUCUUUGAGAUCCUGUUCCCUGCCCGCUAUCACGCCACUGGGAAUCCUCCCGGGAAGGCGCGGGCAGCGGUCCAAAGCCGGAAUACCUGCCGAUGUA